AAAUUAAUAUUUUACUCACAGAUUGAUCAGAAACUGCUGCAGUGGUUGAGAGGAGGAAUGACUCCGAUCACCUAGAUAAUUAUGUUAUAAAUUUAUCAGUGUUAACCCAAAUUAAGAAUUUUAAAAAAAUAAUGACACCCUAAUUUAUGCCGGAAAUUCAGCAGAGUCUCCCCUGUACCUAAGAUCUAUCCAACCUGCAACGUGGUUCAAAUCACAUUUCUAAAAUCACAUAUCUCAAUCCAUAUCUCAUCAACAACAUAGUGCUCCUCCUGGGCCCUCCAAAACAAUCAAUACUCACAAUCUUGAAAAUUAUAUUUUAAUCCCUGAAAUUAACCUUUUUGCAAAAAUUACUCAAACGAGUUCUAAAAAUUCUAAAAUUUUGUCCUGCAGUCUUUAACAAUAUUACAAGGCUAUUGCAAAAGGAAUUUCAAUUUUUUAAUCACCCGCAUUCAAGAAUAUUUCUCAAUUCCAUAAGUAUCUAACAACUAACAUAUUCUUAAUUCAACCUAAUU
rnacentral:misc_RNA from 1 species